CCUACGGGCUGCAGCAGUGGGGAAUAUUGGACAAUGGGCGAAAGCCUGAUCCAGCCAUGCCGCGUGUGUGAAGAAGGCCUUCGGGUUGUAAAGCACUUUCAGUGGGGAAGAAAGCCUUGGGGCUAAUACCCUCGAGGAAGGACAUCACCCACAGAAGAAGCACCGGCUAACUCCGUGCCAGCAGCCGCGGUAAUACGGAGGGUGCGAGCGUUAAUCGGAAUUACUGGGCGUAAAGCGCGCGUAGGCGGUCUGAUAAGCCGGUUGUGAAAGCCCCGGGCUCAACCUGGGAACGGCAUCCGGAACUGUCAGGCUAGAGUGCAGGAGAGGAAGGUAGAAUUCCCGGUGUAGCGGUGAAAUGCGUAGAGAUCGGGAGGAAUACCAGUGGCGAAGGCGGCCUUCUGGACUGACACUGACGCUGAGGUGCGAAAGCGUGGGUAGCAAACAGGAUUAGAUACCCCAGUAGUC
rnacentral:rRNA from 1 species